UUAAGUGUUAGACACGCAGACGGUGAGCACAGGACACCAGAACCUUCCACCCACUGCAGGUCCUACAGCCAGUUCUCUAGAAAGGUGGGCCAAGGGGAGCUGUGCAAGCCAGAGGAAGCAAGCAGUGUUCUGCCAUGGUCCUGGCUCCAGGUUCCUGCCUUGACUUCCUUCCCUGACUUCCCUCAGCGAUGGACUGCGAUGUGGAAAUCUUGCGGGCUCUGUCCUGAAGGGCGGCUGUCUACAGAAACGACCUCUGUUGCCUGGGUCUUCGUAGAAGUUAUAAAUGUUGCAUGACAUUUAUCAGAAAGUAGGAUGGCAUGCUCAUUUCAAGAUUUCUCUUCCCACCAAGACCAGGUAUGUGUCGGGACACAGAUUUACCAGAUGUCAAUGACCCAUUACUUAUGGAGAGCUGCUUCUCAGUGCUCAAUGGAUGGAUGGAAUAAGUCCCUGGGUUGUGGAGCAGGAGACAUCCAGGAGAGGAGGCAGUAUGUAGGCAGAAGGAAGAACAGCCCAGUUUGUUCAGUAUGUGAACCGUGGAGAAUUCUAAGCAAUGUGCUUGUGGUGGUUUGAAUAUGCCUGACCCAUGGCUG
rnacentral:lncRNA from 1 species